rnacentral:rRNA from 1 species
CCUACGGGAGGCAGCAGUGGGGAAUAUUGGACAAUGGGCGAAAGCCUGAUCCAGCCAUGCCGCGUGUGUGAAGAAGGCCUUCGGGUUGUAAAGCACUUUCAGUGGGGAAGAAAGCCUUGGGGCUAAUACCCUCGAGGAAGGACAUCACCCACAGAAGAAGCACCGGCUAACUCCGUACCAGCAGCCGCGGUAAUACGGAGGGUGCGAGCGUUAAUCGGAAUUACUGGGCGUAAAGCGCGCGUAGGCGGUCUGAUAAGCCGGUUGUGAAAGCCCCGGGCUCAACCUGGGAACGGCAUCCGGAACUGUCAGGCUAGAGUGCAGGAGAGGAAGGUAGAAUUCCCGGUGUAGCGGUGAAAUGCGUAGAGAUCGGGAGGAAUACCAGUGGCGAAGGCGGCCUUCUGGACUGACACUGACGCUGAGGUGCGAAAGCGUGGGUAGCAAACAGGAUUAGAUACCCGGGUAGUC